AUACGGAGGAUCCGAGCGUUAUCCGGAUUUAUUGGGUUUAAAGGGUGCGCAGGCGGGAUGUUAAGUCGGCGGUGAAAUUUUGCCGCCCAACUGUAAAAGUGCCUUCGAUAUUGGCUUUCUUGAGUGUGGAUGAAGUAGGCGGAAUUUGUGGUGUAGCGGUGAAAUGCAUAGAUAUCACGAGGAACUCCGAUUGCGCAGGCAGCUUACCAAACCAUAACUGACGCUCAGGCACGAAGGCGUGGGGAUCAAACAGGAUUAGAUACCCUGGUAGUCCACGCAGUAAACGAUGAUUACUCGCUGUUUGCGAUACACAGCAAGCGGCUUAGCGAAAGCGUUAAGUAAUCCACCUGGGGAGUACGUUCGCAAGAAUGAAACUCAAAUGAAUUGACGGGG
rnacentral:rRNA from 1 species